rnacentral:rRNA from 1 species
UACGGAGGGGGCGAGCGUUAUUCGGAAUUAUUGGGCGUAAAGGGCGCGUAGGCGGCUGAACAAGUCAAAGGUGAAAUCCCUCGGCUCAACUGAGGAACUGCCUUUGAAACUGUUCGGCUUGAGGCCGGGAGGGGGUAGCGGAAUUCCCAGUGUAGCGGUGAAAUGCGUAGAUAUUGGGAGGAACACCAGUGGCGAAGGCGGCUACCUGGACCGGUUCUGACGCUGAUGCGCGAAAGCUAGGGGAGCAAACAGG